UGGGGAAUAUUGCACAAUGGGGGAAACCCUGAUGCAGCAACGCCGCGUGAGUGAAGAAGUAUUUCGGUAUGUAAAGCUCUAUCAGCAGGGAAGAAGAGAGACGGUACCUGACUAAGAAGCCCCGGCUAACUACGUGCCAGCAGCCGCGGUAAUACGUAGGGGGCGAGCGUUAUCCGGAUUUACUGGGUGUAAAGGGAGCGUAGACGGUUUUUCAAGUCUGAAGUGAAAGCCCGCGGCUCAACUGCGGAACGGCUUUGGAAACUGAGGGACUAGAGUGCUGGAGGGGCAGGCGGAAUUCCUGGUGUAGCGGUGAAAUGCGUAGAUAUCAGGAGGAACACCGGUGGCGAAGGCGGCCUGCUGGACAGUAACUGACGUUGAGGCUCGAAAGCGUGGGGAGCAAACAGG
rnacentral:rRNA from 1 species